GACGAACGCUGGCGGCGUGCCUAAUACAUGCAAGUCGAACGAACCGCGACUAAGUGCUUGCACUAAGUCAAGGUGAGUGGCGAACGGGUGAGUAACACGUGGUUAACCUACCUCAUAGUGGGGGAUAACAGUCGGAAACGACUGCUAAUACCGCAUAGGACAUAGGAUCACAUGAUCCAGUGAGGACAGGUGGCGCGAGCUAUCGCUAAGAGAUGGACCCGCGGUGCAUUAGCUAGUUGGUAGGGUAAAGGCCUACCAAGGCGAUGAUGCAUAGCCGACCGGAGAGGGGGAUAGGCCACAUGGGAACGUAGACACGGCCCAAACGCCUGCGGGAGGCAGCAGUAGGGAAUCUUACGCAAUGGACGCAAGUCUGACGGAGCAACGCCGCGUGAGUGAAGAAGGUCUUCGGAUCGUAAAGAUCUGUUGUUAGAGAAGAACAGCGCAUAGAGUAACUGCUAUGCGUGUGACGGUAUCUAAUCAGAAAGCCACGGCUAACUACGUG
rnacentral:rRNA from 1 species